AUGAACGCUGGCGGCGUGCCUAAUACAUGCAAGUCGAGCGAACGGACGAGAAGCUUGCUUCUCUGAUGUUUGCGGCGGACGGGUGAGUAACACGUGGAUAACCUACCUAUAAGACUGGGAUAACUUCGGGAAACCGGAGCUAAUACCGGAUAAUAUUUUGAACCGCAUGGUUCAAAAGUGAAAGACGGUCUUGCUGUCACUUAUAGAUGGAUCCGCGCUGCAUUAGCUAGUUGGUAAGGUAACGGCUUACCAAGGCAACGAUGCAUAGCCGACCUGAGAGGGUGAUCGGCCACACUGGAACUGAGACACGGUCCAGACUCCUACGGGAGGCAGCAGUAGGGAAUCUUCCGCAAUGGGCGAAAGCCUGACGGAGCAACGCCGCGUGAGUGAUGAAGGUCUUCGGAUCGUAAAACUCUGUUAUUAGGGAAGAACAUAUGUGUAAGUAACUGUGCACAUCUUGACGGUACCUAAUCAGAAAGCCACGGCUAACUACGUG
rnacentral:rRNA from 1 species